CCGCCUCUGCCGUGAGGGGCCCGCGGAGGGACGGAGCCAGGAGGGAGCGGGACGGGCUUAAAGCCAUUUUGCUUUUGUUCUUACAGAGCCCUGAGACAGGCGGGGGAAGCGCGAGGCAGCGUCUUUCCCGCGUCCCUCAGCUGCAGAGCUGAAAAGAGCCUCGGAGAAAUGGUCCCGGCCGUUCUUGGGAGGGGGGAAAGUUACACCGUCAUUACACCUCACUCCUCAGAUGCGGUGUUUACUAUUUAUGUAGCUUCGACAGAAGCACAGAAUCGAUUAGUUUAGAAAAGGCCGCGGAGAUCAUAAAGUCCAACCUAUGACCAAACACGACCCUGGCAACGAGACCAUGGCACCGAGUGCCACGUCCAGGCUUAAACACCCCUGGCUUUUUAAUUAAACACUUCACCUCCAUGGGCAGCCCAUUCCAAUGUCUAAUCACCUUUAAUGUGAAGAAAUUCCUCCCGCUGUCCCACCCACACCUCCCCUGUCACAGCUUUGUCAGCAGCCUCUGAUCCUGCCGGGCUUUCUCCCGGGCAACCACUGACAGGGAGGCUCCUUUCAUGAGGUAUGGAAUACCUCACAACCCUCAAUGGUUACAGCCCCCUGCUCCUUUCAUGAGGUAUGGAAUACCUCACAACCCUCAAUGGUUACAGCCCCCUGCCCCUUUCAUGAGGUAUGGAAUACCUCACAACCCUCAAUGGUUACAGCCCCCUGCUCCUUUCAUGAGGUAUGGAAUACCUCACAACCCUCAAUGGUUACAGCCCCCUGCUCCUUUCAGGCAGGAGAAUUCCUGCCUCUAUGGCUGCUCCAAUGGGAAUCACUUCAUCUGGAGGAAUUGAAUUCAGUAAUUCCACAGUUGGGAAAAUAUCUUUGAUCAGCUGCUGUAGCUUGGGGAUUCGAGCAGACCCACCACAAAGAACUACCUGGAAAACACACCAUAAUAAUUUCAAAUCUUUAGUCUGUGAAAUAAAACAGGUCACACCCUGCUGUGCAAAAAUGCAAACUGCUCUGGUAUAUUUUAUCAUCUGCAGUUGUUGAAAUAAAAAUUGACGUAAUCUUCA